rnacentral:rRNA from 1 species
AUUGAACGCUGGCGGCAUGCUUUACACAUGCAAGUCGAACGGUAACAGGGAGCUUGCUCCGCUGACGAGUGGCGAACGGGUGAGUAAUGCGUCGGAACGUGCCGAGUAGUGGGGGAUAACGCAUCGAAAGGUGUGCUAAUACCGCAUACGUCCUGAGGUAGAAAGUGGGGGACCUUCGGGCCUCACGCUAUUCGAGCGGCCGACGUCUGAUUAGCUAGUUGGUGAGGUAAAGGCUCACCAAGGCGACGAUCAGUAGCGGGUCUGAGAGGAUGAUCCGCCACACUGGGACUGAGACACGGCCCAGACUCCUACGGGAGGCAGCAGUGGGGAAUUUUGGACAAUGGGCGCAAGCCUGAUCCAGCCAUGCCGCGUGUCUGAAGAAGGCCUUCGGGUUGUAAAGGACUUUUGUCCGGGAGCGAAUGCUGGUGGCUAACAUCCACCGGAGCUGAGAGUACCGGAAGAAUAAGCACCGGCUAACUACGUGCCAGCCGCCGCCGUAA